rnacentral:rRNA from 1 species
GAUGAACGCUAGCGGCAGGCUUAAUACAUGCAAGUCGAGGGGCAACAGGGGUAGCAAUACCUGCUGGCGACCGGCAAACGGGUGCGGAACACGUACAGAACCUUCCUUUAAGUUGGAGAUAGCCCGGAGAAAUCCGGAUUAAUACCUAAUAGUAUUAUGGUGUGGCAUCACAUUAUAAUUAAAGCCUUGGCGCUUAGAGAUGGCUGUGCGUAUGAUUAGGUAGUUGGGCGGGUAACGGCCCACCAAGCCUUCGAUCAUUAACUGGUGUGAGAGCACGACCAGUCACACGGGCACUGAGACACGGGCCCGACUCCUACGGGAGGCAGCAGUAAGGAAUAUUGGUCAAUGGACGCAAGUCUGAACCAGCCAUGCCGCGUGAAGGAUGAAGGUCCUCUGGAUUGUAAACUUCUUUUAUGUGGGAAGAAACCCGGGAAUUCUUUUCCGGUUGACGGUACCAUAGGAAUAAGCACCGGCUAACUCCGUGCCAG